AAAAACUUAGUUAAGAAAUAAUAUUAGUUUGUCAAACUAAAGUCAACGUAAACCUGUUAGUUUUUA